UGGGGAAUAUUGCACAAUGGGCGCAAGCCUGAUGCAGCCAUGCCGCGUGUGUGAAGAAGGCCUUCGGGUUGUAAAGCACUUUCAGCGGGGAGGAAGGCGUUAAGGUUAAUAACCUUGGCGAUUGACGUUACCCGCAGAAGAAGCACCGGCUAACUCCGAGCCAGCAGCCGCGGUAAUACGGAGGGUGCAAGCGUUAAUCGGAAUUACUGGGCGUAAAGCGCACGCAGGCGGUCUGUCAAGUCGGAUGUGAAAUCCCCGGGCUCAACCUGGGAACUGCAUUCGAAACUGGCAGGCUAGAGGCUUGUAGAGGGGGGUAGAAUUCCAGGUGUAGCGGUGAAAUGCGUAGAGAUCUGGGGGAAUACCGGUGGCGAAGGCGGCCCCCUGGACAAAGACUGACGCUCAGGUGCGAAAGCGUGGGGAGCAAACAGG
rnacentral:rRNA from 1 species